rnacentral:rRNA from 1 species
AAAUUGAAGAGUUUGAUCAUGGCUCAGAUUGAACGCUGGCGGCAGGCCUAACACAUGCAAGUCGAACGGUAACAGGAAACAGCUUGCUGUUUCGCUGACGAGUGGCCGCCGGGUGAGUAAUGUCUGGGAUACUGCCCGAUGGAGGGGGAUAACUACUGGAAACGGU